rnacentral:rRNA from 1 species
UAAUACGGAGGAUCCAAGCGUUAUCCGGAUUUAUUGGGUUUAAAGGGUGCGUAGGCGGCCUGUUAAGUCAGGGGUGAAAGACGGUGGCUCAACCAUCGCAGUGCCCUUGAUACUGAUGGGCUUGAAUGGACUAGAGGUAGGCGGAAUGUGACAAGUAGCGGUGAAAUGCAUAGAUAUGUCACAGAACACCGAUUGCGAAGGCAGCUUACUAUGGUCUGAUUGACGCUGAGGCACGAAAGCGUGGGGAUCGAACAGGAUUAGAUACCCUGGUAGUCCACGCCCUAAACGAUGAACACUCGCUGUUGGCGAUACACGGUCAGCGGCUAAGCGAAAGCGUUAAGUGUUCCACCUGGGGAGUACGCCCGCAAGGGUGAA